rnacentral:lncRNA from 1 species
GGCGUACAACUUUGUUUCAGCCAAUGUCUUUUGGUGAAAAAGGUAAACGCCUGCCUUCUUUACGCGGAUGAAUAUGCCUCUAAUGGGGAAGAUGUAGCUAGCCCGCGAAUAAUUUCUGCGUGUUCUUGUGUGUAGUUUUUUUUGUUUCUCGAAGGCAAUAUGGAUGGCGAUUUAUUUAUGGAGUGUGAGGAGGAGGAGCUGGAGCCAUGGCAACAGAUGUAUGAUGACGUGGAUGAGGAGGAGUUGGAAUUCAUCGAAGGUGACAAUGACAAUGUCUGUGAUGCCUCCUUUACGACCGCCCAAAAGACUGCAGUUCCCAGCGUACACCCAGGCAAUUCCUCGGGUGCACAGCAGGUCCCGGCAAAAGUUUCCAACCCAGUCAUGUCAUCUGCCUCGCUACUCACCCCUACAGCAGGUGAGUUGACCUUUUAGGGAAAGAUGGUGUCACACUCCAAACAAACCGCAAUAACAGCUGUUUUAGAAAUACUUCAGAUGCUCCGAAUUUGAGAAUUUACACCUGCUUUAUACACCACAGUCAUUAACCGUCAGACGCUCAGAC